rnacentral:rRNA from 1 species
UACAGAGGUCUCAAGCGUUGUUCGGAUUCAUUGGGCGUAAAGGGUGCGUAGGCGGCGCGGUAAGUCGGGUGUGAAAUCUCGGGCUUAACUCCGAAACUGCAUUCGAUACUGCCGUGCUUGAGGACUGGAGAGGAGACUGGAAUUUACGGUGUAGCGGUGAAAUGCGUAGAUAUCGUAAGGAAGACCAGUGGCGAAGGCGGGUCUCUGGACAGUUCCUGACGCUGGAGGAACGAAAGCUAGGGGAGCAAACGGG